AUUGAACGCUGGCGGCAGGCUUAACACAUGCAAGUCGAGCGAGCGGCGGACGGGUGAGUAAUCUCUGGGAAACUGCGUGAUGGAGGGGGAUCUCUACUGGAAACUGUAUAUUAUAGCGCAUACUCUCAGAUGUGCCCAGAUGGGAUGAGCUAGUAGGGGGGGUAAGGGCUCACCUAGGCGACGCUCCCUAGCUGGUCUGAGAGGAUGACCAGCCACACUGGAACUGAGACACGGUCCAGACUCCUACGGGAGGCAGCAGUGGGGAAUAUUGCACAAUGGGCGCAAGCCUGAUGCAGCCAUGCCGCGUGUGUGAAGAAGGCCUUCGGGUUGUAAAGCACUUUCAGCGAGGAGGCGUUACUCGCAGAAGAAGCACCGGCUAACUCCGUGCCAGCAGCCGCGGUAAUUC
rnacentral:rRNA from 1 species